CAGUCGCCGCGGGAAAACGAAGGGGGCUAGCGUUGUUCGGAAUUACUGGGCGUAAAGCGCACGUAGGCGGAUAUUUAAGUCAGGGGUGAAAUCCCGCAGCUCAACUGCGGAACUGCCUUUGAUACUGGGUAUCUUGAGUAUGGAAGAGGUUAGUGGAAUUGCGAGUGUAGAGGUGAAAUUCGUAGAUAUUCGCAGGAACACCAGUGGCGAAGGCGGCUAACUGGUCCAUAACUGACGCUGAGGUGCGAAAGCGUGGGGAGCAAACAGGAUUAGAUACCCCGGUAGUCCCUGUCUCUUAUAC
rnacentral:rRNA from 1 species